rnacentral:rRNA from 1 species
GACGUCAAAUCAUCAUGCCCCUUAUGAUUUGGGCUACACACGUGCUACAAUGGCGUAAACAAAGAGAAGCGAACCCGUGAGGUCAAGCAAAUCUCAAAAAUAACGUCUCAGUUCGGAUUGUAGUCUGCAACUCGACUACAUGAAGCUGGAAUCGCUAGUAAUCGCAGAUCAGAAUGCUGCGGUGAAUACGUUCCCGGGUCUUGUACACACCGCCCGUCACACCAUGGGAGUCAAUAACGCCCGAAGUCAGUGACCUAACCGUAAGGAAGGAGCUGCCGAAGGUGGGAUCGAUAAC